ACUACAGGACCGCCCCACCAGCGUAUAGUCAGCCGAGCUCAACGAGAGACCACCAAAAGUAAAUACAUGCAUCCCAAUUCUCCGCGACUACUCGACUCGCCCUAAGGGGUGGGAAGGAGUCAUGUACAUUCGAAGUAAGGCAGUACUCGGCUUACCGGUUUUGACUA